AUUACUAAAUUGAUAACCGCAAAGUAAAGAAAGAGUUGAGGAUUUCAUUUCCCAAAGGUGAAGAGCAAUAGAAAGUAUAAGAAUAGUUUCCCUGACUUGGUGGGUUAGAACACUAUCCAAAAUUAGAAACCUUGAGGUCAAUCGAAGCAUCCAAUAUUAAAUUUUCAGGCUGCACGAGAAAAAGAGAGUUUAAUUUCUAUGGACUAACAUUGUGUAACUCUUUUACAUCAUCAUUGUCACGUAUAUAAGUUAAAAUCCGCCAAAAAGAGGUAGGAUAUUAGUUAGUUUGUAGGUGUAGCUUCCUAGAAUGAUUUACUAAAUUCAGUGAGUUGUUUCAAGGGAUCAAAACAGUGAGUUAUUAUUGGAAUUCCUUCACCACUCUUAGGUUCCGUUACUUCAGUUUGUUUUGUAACUCUUUUUCUGUUAUGGUUACUCAAAGAAAAUUUAGGACUAAUAUGUUAACCUUCCCUUUUGUUUCCAUUGUUCCGGAAGCCUCAAGUUUGUUGAACUGAAUUUUCAUAGAUUGCCAGAUUCUAGACUACAAUAUGUGUUCUUGAAUUGUAAUUGAUUAUAAAUUCUUUAAAAUUACCUCACGGUUUUUGUCGAUUGUUUGUACAGAGGGAGUUUCCCACAGGAGAACCCUUCUGGAUUAGCCUCAAUGCCUUUGUAUAAGUCCUUCAAAUGACUCUGUUAUUGAAACGAACAUCCCUUGCAUUCACAACAACCUUCAUCUGCGAGCAAAGUAAUGUUCAUCAUCUGCUGAAGCUUCAAUUCUGGACAAGAAGAUUAAGCUUCCACCUUUGGUCGUAGCACUAUGUUUUGAAAAGCUAGGUUGAAGAAAGAUGCCCAACACUUCAAAAAGGUACAUGACACAUCGAGUGCCACACUAUUGCUGUUACAGUGUUGCUACUAUACCCUACUUCCAUUGCUAAGACGUUUUCUCCUAUUCCAACAGGAAAUUUAACAUGUAUUUUGUCAUCACACAUACAAAGUUGUAACAGUAACUAAGAAUACCAAGAUGACAGCCACUAAUAGUGCUGGCAAUUUAAGUUCAUUUUUUACUGACCCGUCCAAAUAGCCCAUCAAAUAUGUGUUCAAAAAGUGAAUGAAAAAUUACCUAUGUAGA